CAGUCGCCGCGGUAAUACGAAGGGUGCAAGCGUUAAUCGGAAUUACUGGGCGUAAAGCGUGCGUAGGCGGUGAGUUAAGUCUGCUGUGAAAUCCCCGGGCUCAACCUGGGAAUGGCAGUGGAUACUGGCUCGCUAGAGUGUGUCAGAGGAUGGUGGAAUUCCCGGUGUAGCGGUGAAAUGCGUAGAGAUCGGGAGGAACAUCAGUGGCGAAGGCGGCCAUCUGGGACAACACUGACGCUCAUGCACGAAAGCGUGGGGAGCAAACAGGAUUAGAUACCCCCGUAGUCCCUGUCUCUUAUAA
rnacentral:rRNA from 1 species